rnacentral:rRNA from 1 species
CACUCCUACGGGAGGCAGCAGUGGGGAAUAUUGGACAAUGGGCGCAAGCCUGAUCCAGCCAUGCCGCGUGAGUGAUGAAGGCCCUAGGGUUGUAAAGCUCUUUCACCGGUGAAGAUAAUGACGGUAACCGGAGAAGAAGCCCCGGCUAACUUCGUGCCAGCAGCCGCGGUAAUACGAAGGGGGCUAGCGUUGUUCGGAUUUACUGGGCGUAAAGCGCACGUAGGCGGACUAUUAAGUCAGGGGUGAAAUCCCGGGGCUCAAACCCGGAACUGCCUUUGAUACUGGUAGUCUUGAGUUCGAGAGAGGUGAGUGGAAUUCCGAGUGUAGAGGUGAAAUUCGUAGAUAUUCGGAGGAACACCAGUGGCGAAGGCGGCUCACUGGCUCGAUACUGACGCUGAGGUGCGAAAGCGUGGGGAGCAAACAGGAUUAGAAACCCCGGUAGUCCCA